rnacentral:rRNA from 1 species
GAUGAACGCUAGCGGCAGGCCUAAUACAUGCAAGUCGAGGGGCAGCGGGGUAGCAAUACUGCCGGCGACCGGCGCACGGGUGCGUAACACGUAUGCAACCUACCUUAAACUGGGAGAUAGCCCGGGGAAACUCGGAUUAAUACCCCAUAAUACAUUUGGUUUACAUGAAUUGAUUGUUAAAGAUUUAUCGGUUUAAGAUGGGCAUGCGUUCGAUUGGCUAGUUGGUAAGGUAACGGCUUACCAAGGCUACGAUCGAUAGGGGGUCUGAGAGGAUGAUCCCCCACACUGGUACUGAGAUACGGACCAGACUCCUACGGGAGGCAGCAGUAGGGAAUAUUGGUCAAUGGAGGCAACUCUGAACCAGCCAUGCCGCGUGUAGGAAGAAGGCGUUCUGCGUUGUAAACUACUUUUGAUUGGGAACAAAUGACUCUUGCGAGAGUAGCUGAGUGUACCAAAAGAAUAAGCCACGGCUAACUACGUGCCAGCAGCCGCCGUAA